GAUGAACGCUGGCGGCGUGCCUAAUACAUGCAAGUCGAGCGAACGGACGAGAAGCUUGCUUCUCUGAUGUUAGCGGCGGACGGGUGAGUAACACGUGGAUAACCUACCUAUAAGACUGGGAUAACUUCGGGAAACCGGAGCUAAUACCGGAUAAUAUUUUGAACCGCAUGGUUCAAAAGUGAAAGACGGUCUUGCUGUCACUUAUAGAUGGAUCCGCGCUGCAUUAGCUAGUUGGUAAGGUAACGGCUUACCAAGGCAACGAUGCAUAGCCGACCUGAGAGGGUGAUCGGCCACACUGGACCUGCGACACGGUCCAGACUCCUACGGGAGGCAGCAGUAGGGAAUCUUCCGCAAUGGGCGAAAGCCUGACGGAGCAACGCCGCGUGAGUGAUGAAGGUCUUCGGAUCGUAAAACUCUGUUAUUAGGGAAGAACAUAUGUGUAAGUAACUGUGCACAUCUUGACGGUACCUAAUCAGAAAGCCACGGCUAACUACGUG
rnacentral:rRNA from 1 species